rnacentral:hammerhead_ribozyme from 1 species
AUCCAGCUGAAGAGUCCAAAACGGGACGAAACGCGCAUCCUGGAU